AGAAAGGACUCACCUUUUCAAUGAAUGGCAUGUCCAGUUUCUCAAAAAUCUGGCAAAAUGAGCCUAAAGGCCAACAAAGGGUGGUCUUUCAUGGUUUGACUUCAGCAACACAGUGAAGCCUAAUCUAUGGGAGGCUUCAGAGAAGGAGGAAAACAAUGAAGGGGAAAAUGUUUUUUAACCUUACAAAAAUUAUGUGAGUUACAUGCUGUCAGUUUCUUUUCCACACUUGGGUCCCUGUUACCUAUGGGAGACCUGAGCAGGGUUCAUGGCACCUGUCUUCAAUUUGGUCCAACUCCAGACAUCACACCUAUUUGGGUAAUAAAUGAGUUUGUGGAAGAUU